rnacentral:rRNA from 1 species
UACGAAGGGGGCUAGCGUUGUUCGGAAUUACUGGGCGUAAAGCGCGCGCAGGCGGUCCUUCAAGUCAGGGGUGAAAGCCCAGGGCUCAGCCCUGGAAUGGCCUUUGAGACUAGAGGACUUGGGUACGGGAGAGGUGAGUGGAAUUCCGAGUGUAGAGGUGAAAUUCGUAGAUAUUCGGAAGAACACCAGUGGCGAAGGCGGCUCACUGGCCCGUUACCGACGCUCAGGCGCGACAGCGUGGGGAGCAAACAGG